rnacentral:rRNA from 1 species
CGCCUCUUGACCCCCCUAUAAGAGGUCCAGCCUGCCCAGUGACUCUGUUCAACGGCCGCGGUAUCCUAACCGUGCGAAGGUAGCGUAAUCACUUGUCUUCUAAAUAGAGACCAGUAUGAAAGGCACCACGAGGGCUAAACUGUCUCCUUUCUCUAAUCAGUGAACCUAAUCUCCCCGUGAAGAAGCGGGGAUCUUCCUAUAAGACGAGAAGACCCUAUGGAGCUUAAAACAUCGUAACACCUGCUAAUCUUAAAUUCCCUCCUAGCACACUGAUUACAAGUUUUUGGUUGGGGCGACCAUGGAGAAAAAUAAAUCCUCCAUAUUGAAAGAGAACCUCCCUAAACAAUAAGUUACAACUUUAUGCAUCAAUAAAUUGACAUUCUUGACCCAACAUUUGAUCAACGAACCAAGUUACCCUAGGGAUAACAGCGCAAUCCACUUCAAGAGCCCCUAUCGACAAGUGGGCUUACGACCUCGAUGUUGGAUCGGGGUAUCCCAGUGGUGCAGCCACUACUAAAGGU